GACCUGGCCGGGCGGUCCGCCUAACGGUGUGUACUGUCUGGCCGGGCCUUACCUCUUGGUGAGCCAGCAUGCCCUUCACUGGGUGUGUUGGGGAACCAGGACUUUUACCUUGAGAAAAUUAGAGUGUUUAAAGCAAGCAAACGCUUGAAUACAUUAGCAUGGAAUAAUGAAAUAGGACGUUCGAACCUAUUUUGUUGGUUUCUAGGAUUGACGUA
rnacentral:rRNA from 1 species